GACGAACGCUGGCGGCGUGCUUAACACAUGCAAGUCGAACGGAAAGGCCCUGCUUUUGUGGGGUGCUCGAGUGGCGAACGGGUGAGUAACACGUGAGUAACCUGCCCUUGACUUUGGGAUAACUUCAGGAAACUGGGGCUAAUACCGGAUAGGAGCUCCUGCUGCAUGGUGGGGGUUGGAAAGUUUCGGCGGUUGGGGAUGGACUCGCGGCUUAUCAGCUUGUUGGUGGGGUAGUGGCUUACCAAGGCUUUGACGGGUAGCCGGCCUGAGAGGGUGACCGGCCACAUUGGGAAUGAGAUACGGCCCGGACUCCUACGGGAGGAAGCAGUGGGGAAUAUUGAACAAGGGGCGGAAGCCUGAUGCAGCAACGCCGCGUGCGGGAUGACGGCCUUCGGGUUGUAAACCGCUUUCGCCUGUGACGAAGCGUGAGUGACGGUAAGGGGUAAAGAAGCACCGGCUAACUACGUG
rnacentral:rRNA from 1 species